AGCCAUGCAGUGAACACAAAGCAAACUAUUCUUUUGCCUUUUACUAAAGAAUACCGUGUGUGCAUUGCAAUGAAUGGCAAAUUAUAUUAUGCACCGCGGUGCA
rnacentral:snRNA from 1 species